ACUAAAAUUUAAUUAAAAUUAAAAAGAGUACAGCACCCACAGACUGGUUGUAAUAUUCCAAAGCCAGAAGAAUCAACAGAAACAGGCUUCUCUAUUGUCUGAGCUCGUAGAUAGACUUUAUGGCCUCUGAGCAACAGCCAUACAACUGCCACAAUGUCUCACCUCACCUUACCAAGAGACAGACUGUAACGCAUCCCAGGAGAUGAAGACCGACCAAGAAGCAUGUCCAAUUAAAGGAAUCUGGGAGCACGAGGUUCCCUGGAGGAGACAUCCUUCCCACUCAGGACACAGUACAGCAGACUCCGGUGGCCUCUUCUCUCAACUCCAACAAAGCAAUUGAGGUAUAAGACGUAGAUAAGGCUAUUUCAAGUCAUCCCCACUGCCAAUGCUGGGAUCAGUG